CUUUAAAAAUCUGGAUCAAGCUGAAAAUUGAAACGACACACUUAAGGUGUGUUCGAGUCUCUCAAAUUAUCGCAAUGCGGCGAUGUUUUACGAAACAUCUUCGG
rnacentral:sRNA from 1 species